rfam:Brevibacillus panacihumi W25 genomic scaffold Scaffold2, whole genome shotgun sequence.
UCCACCGCGAGGUGGAAUCUGAAGGAAGUCUGCGGCAAACCUCCGGCCUGAGGAACACGAACUUCAUAUGAGGCUAACGAUAGCUGGAUGAGUCUGCCAUACAAGACGAAGUCCAUGUUGCCAAAGGCUAUCGGGAGUAAAUGAAGCAGGUGGAUGGAGGGAAAGACAACGUU